rnacentral:lncRNA from 1 species
AUAUUAUACUUACUUGUAACAAAACAUGAAAUAAGUAUUGAAAGAGGUAUAAUGAAAUAUUUAAAAGACUGUUAUACAUCUAUAAACGCAGGUUAAAAGAGAAAAAAAAAAAGCAUAUACUAACAUGAAUAUAUAUAUAUAUUUACGUAUACAUAUACACACACAUGGAAAAGCAUAAUGUAUAGUUUAUUUUAAUUAAUGUUUUAUUUUUUAUUUUUUUUUUUUUUUUUUUUGAUAAAGAUCAAUCAUUAAAUAAGACGAUAGAGAAAAUAAAUGAAGCAGAUAAAAACAUUGAGGAUUUAGGAGGAAAAACAGGAAUGUGGACUGAAGAUGAUAAUAACUAUUUUAUUAGUGUAUAUGAAAAUAAUUCCAAACUAGGAGACAACAUUGUUGUCGAUUUAUUAAAAAGUAGAAUAAAUAAAAGUGAAGAAGAAAUUUAUAAACACAUCACUUGGUAUCAAAAUUUUAUGUCUAUUAAAAAACUUAAAAAUAAAUAUAUUAACAACAUUAGCAUCUUCAAUAUAAAUGUAAAAAAGAAAAAAAAAAAAAAAAAAAAAAGGAUAUGCACAUAUAUAUACAUAUAUGUACAUAGUUACGUCUUAAUACGUUGCUUUCUUUUUUUUUUCAUUUUAUUUUUACAAUGAUUUUUUUUACAAUAUUUAUAUUUUAUGAAUAUAUUAAUAAUAUGUACUUAAAAUAUUGAAACAGGAACAAAAUAAAGCGGAUCUCAAAGUUAAAGAAAAAAAAAAU